rnacentral:misc_RNA from 1 species
CCCCAAGUGUAUCAACAUGUACUUUUCGCAUUGGCUGGAACAGAAGAGAAAAUUGAGUCAUUUGGUAACGCGCCUCUUCACGAUUCUAUCGCCACAAAAAGUCUUCACCAUUAAAUAGUUCUCUCAGAGCUUCCACCGUUAAUUUCGCUUUUCUAUUUCCUUCAUCAAUUUAGCUUCUUCUCUCGUUUGCUUUUCCUCUUCAAUUUUCCCCAAAUUAUCCAGUCUUUCAAAUAAUUCUUUCUUCUGCUGAUCGAAUCAGAGCUGUUGGUUCGAUCUCUGGCUAUUGAUAACCUUAUGCCGCCGGAGAUCGAACAAGUCGCCGAGAAUGCCUUAUUCGGCAAAUAUGAGCUCGGCAAGCUUCUCGGAUGCGGUGCGUUUGCCAAGGUUUACCACGCAAGAAAUCUCCGAACUGGGCAAAGCGUAGCCAUUAAAAUCAUCAACAAGAAGAAAAUCGCUAACCCUACAUUAAUGUCUAAUAUCAAGCGCGAGAUCUCCAUUAUGCGCAGGCUUAACCAUCCUCACAUCGUCAAGCUCUAUGAGGUUUUAGCCUCCAAGACCAAGAUUUAUUUUGUUAUGGAGUUUGUCAAAGGUGGAGAGUUGUUUGCCAAAGUCGCUAAAGGACGCUUCAGUGAGGAUCUCAGCCGUAAAUAUU